UACGUAGGCAGCGAGCGUUGUUCGGAGUUACUGGGCGUAAAGGGUGUGUAGGCGGUUGUUUAAGUUUGGUGUGAAAUCUCCCGGCUCAACCGGGAGGGUGCGCCGAAUACUGAAUGACUUCGAGUGCGGGAGAGGAAAGUGGAAUUCCUGGUGUAGCGGUGAAAUGCGUAGAUAUCAGGAGGAACACCGGUGGUGUAGACGGCUUUCUGGACCGUAACUGACGCUGAGACACGAAAGCGUGGGUAGCAAACAGG
rnacentral:rRNA from 1 species